UACGUAGGGUCCGAGCGUUGUCCGGAAUUAUUGGGCGUAAAGGGCUCGUAGGCGGUCUGUUGCGUCGGGAGUGAAAAUUCACAGCUUAACUGUGAACUUGCUUCCGAUACGGGCAGACUUGAGGUAUUCAGGGGAGAACGGAAUUCCUGGUGUAGCGGUGAAGUGCGACAGAUAUCAGGAGGAACACCGGUGGCGAAGGCGGGUCUCGUGGGCCGAUACUGACGCUGGAGGAGCGAAAGCUAGGGUAGCAAACGGG
rnacentral:rRNA from 1 species